AGGACGAACGCUGGCGGCGUGCUUAACACAUGCAAGUCGAGCGGAAAGGCCCUUCGGGGUACUCGAGCGGCGAACGGGUGAGUAACACGUGAGCAAUCUGCCCUUAGCUUCGGGAUAGCCCCCGGGAAACCGGGAUUAAUACCGAAUAUGACCUCGGCCGACAUCGGCUUUGGUGGAAAGUUUUUCGGCUAGGGAUGAACUCGCGGCCUAUCAGCUUGUUGGUGGGGUAAUGGCCUACCAAGGCGACGACGGGUAGCCGGCCUGAGAGGGCGACCGGCCACACUGGGACUGAGACACGGCCCAGACUCCUACGGGAGGCAGCAGUGGGGAAUAUUGCGCAAUGGGCGAAAGCCUGACGCAGCGACGCCGCGUGGGGGAUGAAGGCCUUCGGGUUGUAAACCCCUUUCAGCAGGGACGAAGCGAGAGUGACGGUACCUGCAGAAGAAGCGCCGGCUAACUACGUGCCAGCAGCCGC
rnacentral:rRNA from 1 species